rnacentral:tRNA from 1 species
GGGGGUGUAGCUCAGUGGUUGAGUGUGUGCCUCACAUGUACAAGGUCCCAAGUUCAAUCCCUGGUAUCUCCU